UACAGAGGUCUCAAGCGUUGUUCGGAUUCAUUGGGCGUAAAGGGUGCGUAGGUGGCGGGGUAAGUCAGGUGUGAAAUCUCGGGGCUCAACCCCGAAACUGCACUUGAUACUGCCUUGCUCGAGUACUGGAGAGGAGAUUGGAAUUUACGGUGUAGCAGUGAAAUGCGUAGAUAUCGUAAGGAAGACCAGUGGCGAAGGCGAAUCUCUGGACAGUUACUGACGCUGAGAAGCGAAAGCAUGGGGAGCGAACAGG
rnacentral:rRNA from 1 species